AGCGAACGCUGGCGGCAGGCUUAACACAUGCAAGUCGAGCGGGCACUUCGGUGUCAGCGGCAGACGGGGGAGAAAAACGUGGGAACGUGCCCUUUGGGUCGGGAUAACGCUGGGAAACAAGCGCUAAUAUCGGAUACGCCCCUUUGGGGAAAGGCUUGCUGCCGAAGGAUCGGGCCGCGUCUGAUUAGCUAGUUGGUGGGGUAAUGGCCUACCAAGGCGACGAUCAGUAGCUGGUCUGAGAGGAUGAUCAGCCACACUGGGACUGAGACACGGCCCAGACUCCUACGGGAGGCAGCAGUGGGGAAUAUUGGACAAUGGGCGCAAGCCUGAUCCAGCCAUGCCGCGUGAGUGAUGAGGGCCUUAGGGUUGUAAAGCUCUUUUGUCCGGGACGAUAAUGACGGUACCGGAAGAAUAAGCCCCGGCUAACUUCGUG
rnacentral:rRNA from 1 species